CCAAUAGCGUAUAUUAAAGUUGUUGCAGUUAAAAAGCUCGUAGUUGAAUUUCGGGAUCAAUAUGUCGGUCGUGCCUCGGUACGUACUGGCGCAAUUGGUUUCUCCCUUCUGAAGAACCUCGAUGUCAUUAAUUUGGUGUCGUGGGGAAUCAGGACUGUUACUUUGAAAAAAUUAGAGUGUUUAAAGCAGGCUCGCGCUUGAAUACAUUAGCAUGGAAUAAUGAAAUAGGACGUUUGAUUCUAUUUUGUUGGUUUCUAGGAUCGACGUAAUGAUUAAUAGGGAUAGUUGGGGGCAUUAGUAUUCAAUUGUCAGAGGUGAAAUUCUUGGAUUUAUUGAAGACUAACUACUGCGAAAGCAUUUGCCAAGGAUGUUUUCAUUAAUCAAGAACGAAAGUUAGGGGAUCGAAGACGAUCAGAUACCGUCGUAGUCUUAACCAUAAACUAUGCCGACUAGGGAUCGGAUGAUGUUGAUUUUUUAAUGACUCAUUCGGCGCCUUACG
rnacentral:rRNA from 1 species